UGGAAACAUCCUUGUUCCUCCCCACUAUACGUAAUUCGUGUCUACAUUUCUCUUCAGUGUUUAAGCAUGAAAUUCUACGUCUUGCUCAUGGCAAAUCUUUAUGAACUCAUGAAUCUCUAUGAUAUCAUCCGUUCUCUAUGGUAUUCUUAUUCCUAGAAUAUAUUCGUUUUCACCUGAGAUUUCAAAAGGCAUGAACUGUGAUUGUAUGAGCUUUAUGAUUAUUGACACCAUUUACAUGAUUUCAAAUUAUGAACUUCAAGAGUUUUGCAUUAUAAUGCACAUUAAAUGAAGUAUUAUUUAUGAGCUUUUAUGCAUUAUGAACAAGAUACGAAGGGAGUUAAAUGGUUAACUAAGAAGGCAUAACUCUUUAUGACAUGUUUGAAACAACCUAACACAUAAAUCUGUCAUGUCAUUUAACUUGACCUCAUUUUACACUUUAUGUCUUCAAACUUUAAGUGUGCACAAAAAGACACUUAAACUUGUAUAAAGUUAAACAAAUAGACACACACAUCCUCUGUGGCAUCCUACAUGGAAAUUUGUGUCCUACAUAGUGUCCUACAUGUAUUAUGUCACAUAGAACUCAUGUGUCUACGAUAAUUGUUGUUAAUAUUUCAGUGAAUUUAGUGAGACAAAAAAUAGGUUUUAGAAUUAUAAAGAUACACAAGUAAAGUUCAUUGAUCAUGGGUGAAAUUAAUUUUAUAUUAACAAAAUUUAUAACUUUAUAAAUUUAUAUUUAUGUCAUUCUCGUGACACAAAGUGUUUAUUCUUGCCAUUAUUUAUUUUAUUUCAUUAAUAGAAAAUAUAACUAAUUUUGGCAUAAUUCAACAAGAAAAGGAUCCAUAAUCCAUAUCACUAAUUAAAUCAUCCAAAUUUAAAAACCCCACCCAAAUUCUACAGUAAUUUGUUUCGAAUUUUGAUUAGCUUGAUUGGGGAUUACUUUCAGGUUGACUUUGUAUUUUAUGGAUUAGAAUAAAGAUAAUUCGUGCAAGUAAAUAUAAUUAGUUAAAUAUAAUAAGUAUUGUAUGGCAUACCUCUAAGUUGCUUGCUUCCCCCUUUCUCUUUUUCCAUGACAGUUGUCUUUCAAAUUCUUCAGAUCUAAUGUAGAUAAGAAGUUUAUGAGGAGAAGAAAGAAGCAUAAAACUUCACUAGGUGCGAGCUAGUAGCUUGCAUGUGGAUUCAGUUGAAUUCAGUAGAUUUUGCUUAAACAAUAUAUUUGUGUUAAUAAAUUCAUUAUAUAUGUACAAAUAUUAAAUUUAAAAUUCAGUUAUUUCGUAUCAAAAAAACGUACAUUUUUAGUUAUUAGAUACUAACCUUUUUAGUUGAUGAAAAAUCUGAUAUGGCUCCUCUAUGUUUUUUUUUUGUGUAUCACUAUAAUCCUCUCCUUUCCUUCCAACCAACUAUUAGCUUGAUAAAAUUUGUGUGGAGCAGAAGAUAGGACACUUUUGAUGUUAGUAAGAAAAUGACAAAAAUAAUAAUG
rnacentral:lncRNA from 1 species